rnacentral:lncRNA from 1 species
CAUCGAUGUCGGCCUUGGGCAGGCUCACAUCCACAUCUGGACCUUCUCCUUUGAAGCCAGGCAUGCUGAAUUUGGGCAUUUUCACCUUGGGCAUCUUCAGGUGCCAGUCUGGGCCAUGAACAUCCACAUCAGGGGCAUCAAUGUCCACUUUGGGGCCAGAAAUCUCAAUGUCAGCCUUAGGAAGGGUAACAUCCACAUCUGGGCCCUCUCCUUUGAAUCCUGGCAUGCUGAAUUUGGGCAUUUUCACCUUGGGCAUCUUCAGGUGCCAGUCUGGGCCAUGAACAUCCACAUCUGGGGCAUCAAUGUCCACUUUGGGGCCCUUGAUGUCAACUUCAGGGGCCUUUAGAUCACCUUCCAUCUUAGGCAGAGAAACAUCCACAUCUCCUUUCACCUUAGGGCCUUUCAGAUGCAAAUCAAAGUCAGGCAUGGAGAUCUUGGGGGCUUUGAUGUUCAUCUCUGGCAUCUUGAAUUUAGGGCCCUUCAGUUUCGCAUCUGGACCUUCAAUAUUCACAUCUGGAACAUCAACGUCCACCUUGGGUCCUGAGACGUCAAGGUCAGCCUUGGGCAGGUUCACAUCCACUUCUGGACCUUCUCCUUUGAAGCCAGGCAUGCUGAUCUUGGGCAUUUUUAUCUUAGGCAUCUUCAGGUGCCAGUCUGGGCCUUGAACAUCAACAUCUGGAGCAUUAAUGUCCACUUUGGGGCCCUUGAUGUCAACUUCAGGACCCUUGAGGUCACCUUCCAUUUUGGGCAGAGAAACAUCCACAUCGCCCUUGACUUUGGGGCCCUUCAGGGCCCUUGAGGUCACCUUCCACUUUGGGCAGAGAAAUAUCCACAUCGCCCUUCACCUUGGGACCUUUCAGAUGCAAAUCAAAGUCAGGCAUGGGGAUCU